rnacentral:lncRNA from 10 species
CAAGUUCUGAUGUCCUGGAAGGGCUCCUGCCCAGCUGCCCUGGGGAGCUCAGCCCAUGACCAAACUCAGAUGGACUGAUGGGUUUGAUUCCUGGAGAUAUAUCAUUAAAGCACCUCCCUUUACAUUUAGGUAAAGUCUCCCAAACUUUUUUCAUGAGGAGAAAUUGCCUUUCCUUCCAUUGAAGGUGCAAAAAAGACAGCUUGGGUUGCUGCCAAUAUACCUACAUGCUGUCAGAGGGUGUGGAUGCCACUACCCACAAAGCCCAGAGUUUGGACAGCAGCCCACCAAACAGCUUAGAGGUGUCCCAGCUAAGCCUUCGAGAUAGGAUGGAGGGUCUCCAGGAAUGCCAAAGGAAAUUGUUGAGGAAAUCAAAGAAUGAAUGAACAAAUAAAGAGGCCACUGCCAAAAUGCCCUUGAAAGGAUCACUUUGGAAGCUGUUAUUAGUCGUGUUUACCUUGGUGUGAAUUAAGUAUCUUAGGGUAAGAGUUGCUAGGAGGAAGGAAAGGUUUUGGAAACUGGAUGUCACUAUAUAAGGAAAGAAUAAUACAAAAAGAAAGAUGAUGGGUGCAAGACAAUCACUCACAUAACUUCAUCCUAGUCUCCACUACCCCCAGCUCCUCACCUUCCCUCAACCCACCCCCAGCCUCCUCCUCAUACCCUCUCCCUUCUUUCCUCCCUGGAAAUGCUCCCCAGCUCAGGGCCCAGGUGCUGAAAGGUGCUUUAACGUGAGUGAAAAAGUAUUUGGCCUGGAGCAGGGGGACCGGAAGGGGGUGUCAGUCUGUGCCAUCUGAAGGGGUGUGGCCCGCUGCAUGUAAACAUGGAGGAAGGGAGUGGCUUCCGGCCUGAGCUAUGGGCCCAGGGAAGGACUGGAAAUUCCUACCUGGCCUUCUGCUGCCUCCCCACCUGCCACUGCAGCAACUUCGCUUCACAAACAAAACAGAGACGGAAGUCAGUGGAGUCUUUGCAAUGACAUCUGCCCCUGCUCAAGUCCUCUGCCCUUGGGAGGUCCCACGACAGGCCUUGGCUCCAACCUUCAGCACCCAAGACCCCAGGAUGGCCCAUACUCUCAGGGGCCCCUGCCCUGGCCCUGGCCCACUUUCCUGGUCAUGUUCUCUUAGGAGUGGCUUCUAGCUAUAAAAGCCCAGGUCCUGGCACAGGCUAGGUGCCUUCUGACUGUUGGUUGAUGCAGGAAUAGACAUGAUCAUGUGACUGCUGCCCUCCCUCCAACCCCCAUCCAGCAGGGAGAGGCCCACUCUGGCCUCUGGAAGCCGGAGAAGAGGCUCACCUGCCCAAAGGCCUUCUGUCCAAAGUUCAAGGGAGCCCCACCCCUCCCAGAUGCUCAGCUCACCCCACCCCCAACAGGCAGGGCUACAGUGUGGUGGGCACUGCCACACCCGGACCUGCCACAACCUCUUGGAGUCAGUGACAAGAACCAAACGCACCCCAGCCUCCACCCCUCCCCUUUCCUGCUUUUAUUAUUUUCUUUUCCAUAAAGAUUAGUCUGUGUUGCUCCUCUAUCAAGGCCUGGAGGAUAAACAUGUGGUCCGGAGGCAGAGAAACCCCAGGCCUGAAGGCCCCACUGCCCCCACCCCAGCAGCAUAAACCCAGGGCUUUUAAGCAAGGAAUGGUUUUCAGUAAAUCUCUCCUAUCAGCAGAAACCUUUGAAAGAGUUUGUUUAAAGGCCAGGGAGAUAAACAGCAAGGAGAAGUGUUUGUUUAAGAUGUAUGUUCUGUGUGGCCACUCUGGGGCCCGGAUUUACAUCUCUGGGGAGAGGAACCACUCGGAGGCCAGGGUGGGGGCCUUCCAGGGGCACCUUGGGCUCCCGGUGUGGACUUCAGCCCAGGCAGGGACCCAUGAGCUCAGGGGAGGGAAGUUAGCUGGACUGCACUCACAGGCCUCUCCAGGCUUGGGGCAAGAAAGCAGGGGCUGAAAGGAGCUGCAGGAAGGGAAGAAGCCCUGUAAAGGAGGGGAGGGGUGCCUGGAAGGACCUGCUGGUUGGAAUGCAGGCAGAAAUCCCCUAGGAAGCCACCAAACACACACACACACACACACACACACACACACAAAGCUCAGAACAGGCUCAGGCUCAAGGCCCACCCCAAACAGCCUCAUACUCAGCAGCCCAAUACACAGCUGGGUAUGGCCAGCUCUGUGACCUUGGACAAGCCACCUAACCCAGAACUAGAGCCCUAGUUCCUCUCUGCUGUGAAAACAACACACCUGCCUCAAAGGGUUUUGAGUUUUCCUCCUGUCAUUUGACAGAUAUCGCUUGUACACCUACCGUAUGUCAGGCACUGUUCUAGGUGCUUGGGAUGCAACAGUAAACAAAAUACAGCCUCUGUCCUUUUGGAACUUAAAGAGGAGGAAGAUAGGCAAUGAGCACAAUAAUCAGUAAAUUAAAUACUCUUCGGAAGGUGACAUGAGCUAUAGAAAGAAAUAAAGCGGGUACAAAGACCUGGGAAAGGAUGGUUAGGUUGGACCUCCCAGAGAAGGUGGUCCUUCAAGGAGAUGCAGGUAUCUGAGGGGAGAGAAGCUCAGGCAGAACCCUCAGCCAGGGCAAAAGCCUGGAGGAUUGAAUAAAAUACCUUAGGGUAGGUGCUGAAGCAUAGUCCUGUGGUCAGUAAAUAACGUCCAAUGUUGUCAUUAUACUGAAGCAGUUACUGAGGCCUGGGAUGGGCAGGGAAGCCUUCAGGGAGGAUGCAGGACUUAAGCUGGGUUUUCCCUGGAAUUCCUUCUCCCUGCCAAGUGGAGAGAAAGGCCCUGCAGAAAAGCAUCAUGGAGGUAGAGAGACAGGAGAAUGAUGGCAGAGCUCAUUCCCCAAACCCAGUGGUGGCCAAGGGGUGUAGGGACCAACGCAGCUGGAUUCUCAAGGAAAGUCUUUGGCCUGGGUCAGGAGUCUGGGCUCCCAGUUCUGGCUCUGCCCCUUGCUGGCAGGUGAUUUGGGGCAAGUGAUUUGAAGCUUCUUGCGUCCUUCUUUUCUCUACGGUAAAAUGGGAAUAAUAUAUCCUCCCUUCAUUGAAUUGGUUGAGAGGAUGAAAAGAGAUAUGGGGCCAGGCGCAGUGGUGCACACCUGUAAUCCCAGCACUUUGGGAGGCCGAGGCGGGCGGGUUGCCUAAGCUCAGGAGUUUGAGACCAGCCUGGGCAACACAGUGAAAUCCCAUCUCUACUAAAAUACAAAAAAUUAGCUGAGCAUGGCGGCAUGAGCCUGUAGUCCCAGCUAUUUGGGAGGCUGAGGCAGGAGAAUUGUUUGAACCUGGGAGGUGGAGGCUGCAGUGAGCUGAGAUCGUGCCACUGCACUCCAGCCUGGGUGACAGAGCGAGACUCCGUCUCCAAAAAAAGAAAAAAAAGAAAAGAGAUAUGGUGGGUGUUUCUGCCUGGAACAUAGCAGAUGCUCAAUAAACAUUGGAUUUGCAUUUUGGGCUGUCCUGUGCCCUUUCAGACUCCUUUUGGGCACUUUCCUGAAAGGAUGAGCCAGAUGGUGAUGAGUCUACUGGGUCCCAGACUUGGAGGAGAAGACGACUAAUAGCUGAGCAUGGUCCCCACGUAGCUGAAGGGCUGUCCCGCCAGAGAAAGCCUAGAUUUGUUCCAAAGGGGCUCCAAAAGGAAGGAAGAAGUUUCACGGACACAGAUUUUCAUUUGCACUCAGGAGGAAUUUGGCAAUGGUCCGGGCUAUUUAACAGCAGGAUGGACCUCUAUAGAGACAGCUAGCUCGUGCUAUUAGGAAUUGUGUGGGCAGAGGUGGCUGAG